UAUCCUCCUGAAACCAAAGACACACCAGAUGCCCCUGCCAUGGCUGCAAAGAAAUUGGAGCAUAUGGGUCCUGUUACAAGAAAUGAGUGGGUGAUGGUCGGUACAAUGCUCCUUGCAGUCCCUUUGUGGGUCUUUGGCUGUUGGUGCCAUAUUGUCAGCAACUGAUUCAGUUUGCACGCUGCAGGUUCUCAAUCAAGAUGAAACGCCCUUACUUUACAGUAUUGUAUUCGGUGAGGGAGUGGUGAAUGAUGCCACCUCUAUUGUGCUUUUCAAUGCAGUCCAAUCACUUGAUGUCAGCAACAUUGAUCUACUUACAGCAUUGAAAUUCUUGGGGGCCUUCCUUUACCUCUUCUUCACCAGUACUGCUCUUGGUAUAGCAGUUGAAUAGAUUUGCAGCUAACUUGAAGCAAGCUGCAGAAAGUGAUGGCCGGAUUGAGCGUUCUGUGAGAGAACAGUCAGCACUCAUGUCAAUCCUUGAUUGCCGUCCAGUAUGUUGAACUGUUUGUGUUAUUUAUGUUUAUCAUUUGUCUCCCGUGCCUUAUACCAUAGGCCUUGGAUGAUGCAUUGACAUGCAAUAAAAAAAUUUAAAUAGCAUAAUCAUACUCUGUCGAAAAUGCAAGCUGAUAUGAAUUUCAAAGGCAUUUCUUGAUCCAA